AUUGAACGCUGGCGGCAUGCCUUACACAUGCAAGUCGAACGGUAACGCGGGGCAACCUGGCGACGAGUGGCGAACGGGUGAGUAAUGCAUCGGAACGUGCCCAGUAGUGGGGGAUAGCCCGGCGAAGGCCGGAUUAAUACCGCAUACGACCUACGGGUGAAAGCGGGGGACCGCAAGGCCUCGCGCCAUUGGAGCGGCCGAUGUCAGAUUAGGUUGUUGGUGAGGUAAAGGCUCACCAAGCCGACGAUCUGUAGCUGGUCUGAGAGGACGACCAGCCACACUGGGACUGAGACACGGCCCAGACUCCUACGGGAGGCAGCAGUGGGGAAUUUUGGACAAUGGGCGCAAGCCUGAUCCAGCCAUGCCGCGUGCGGGAAGAAGGCCUUCGGGUUGUAAACCGCUUUUGUCGGGGAAGAAAUCUUCUGGGCUAAUACCCCGGGAGGAUGACGGUACCCGAAGAAUAAGCACCGGCUAACUACGUGCCAGCCGCCGCGGUAA
rnacentral:rRNA from 1 species